rnacentral:rRNA from 1 species
UACGAAGGGUGCAAACGUUGCUCGGAAUUAUUGGGCGUAAAGCGCACGUAGGCGGCUUGGCAAGUCGGAUGUGAAAGCCCCGGGCUCAACCUGGGAAUUGCAUUCGAGACUGAAUAGCUAGGGUACGGUAGAGGGAAGUGGAAUUUCCGGUGUAGCGGUGAAAUGCGUAGAUAUCGGAAGGAACAUCAGUGGCGAAAGCGGCUUCCUGGACCAGCACCGACGUUCAGGCACGAAAGCGUGGGGAGCAAACAGG